rnacentral:rRNA from 1 species
AUUGAACGAUGGCGGCAGGCUUAACACAUGCAAGUCGAGCGAGCGGCGGACGGGUGAGUAAUGUCUGGGAAACUGCCUGAUGGCGGGGGAUAACUAAUGGAAACGGUAGCUAAUACCGCAUACCAUCAGAUGUGGCCAGAUGGGAUUAGCUAGUAGGUGGGGUAAUGGCUCACCUAGGCGACGAUCCCUAGCUGGUCUGAUAGGAUGACCUGCCACACUGGAACUUAGACACGGUCCAGACUCCUACGGGAGGCAGCAUGGUGUAAUCUUUCACAAUGGGCGCGAGCCUGAUACAGCCAUUCCGCGUGUAUGAAGAAGGCCUUCGUGUUGUAAAGCACUUUCAGCUAGGAGGCGUUACUCGCAGAAGAAGCAUCGGCUAACUCCGUGCCAGCAGCCGCGGUAAUUC